rnacentral:lncRNA from 1 species
ACUCUCCAUCUCAUUCUGUCCUUCCCGUACCGAUCUCCUAAAAGCUACACCAGGACCCACCUACCUUCUGAGGAUGAGAGGAGGCUUUCUAACGGAGGGUGAGAAGGAUGCACGACUACAGCUCUUCAGCAUCUCUCUUCUGAGCAGUUAACUGGAAAUACAGAUUCGCCUCCAUUUUCUGGUCACAUGAUCUCUGGCACAUCUAAAUAAGGAUGAUCACCUGCCUCCCAGAUCUCCCCAUGCAGCCGCUGUGGCUAGGGGGCACAGCUGGGGCUGUGCUGAGUUUCAUUUGGGAAUAUACGAUACCCUUUCACCCACGUUGUGGAGUCAAAAAUGCUCUUUAAUUUUUAUGUCAGUUGAGGAAAACUGCUGCUACUCCUGCUCCCGAGUGAGACUGGAUGUGAAUGGGCUCAAAGCACAAGUUGUAAGGAAUUUAGUUCUCUUGAAACCUCUUUUUAAAAAAAAAUCCUGUAGUUUCACAGCACAUACCUAUAUGACAGCAAUGUAAUUAUUUUCAUUGAAUGAACAAUGGUUAAGAUCAUAAUAAAAUGGACUGUGGAAGCAUAGCAGGAUUCAUAAGGAAGUCCAGCUUCGGUCCUAGAGAAAGUUAGGAUGCUUGUCUAAGAUCAGUACGACUUCAGCGACUGGGAGAAAAAGGGGUGUGGAAGUUAACCUGUGGACCCUGCAGUCACAAGGCCAAGUUCAAAGCUGAUUUCUACCACUUAUUAGCAAGUGUGGACGUUACUAAACCUCAUGGCACCUUAAGACUGCUCAUUUACAGAAUGGACAGUAAUCAUGAUGUUCUUUAAAAAUGGUAAGAUAGCCGGGUGUGGUGGCACGUGCCUGGAGUCCCAGCUACUCAGGAGGCUAAGGCAGGAGAAUCUUGAACCCAGGAGAUGGAGGUUGCAGUGAGCCGAGAUUGCAUCGCUGCAUUCCACACUCCAGCGCUGGCAACAGAGUGAGACUCCCUCCACCCCCUCCCCCCCUCCAAAAAAAAAAAAGGUCUCUGGCUUUGAGUGUGAAUUUUCUUCACGGUUUACAAUUCUGGAAGACGGAAAGUCCAAGAUCAAGAUCCUGACAUACUCGCUGUCUGAUGAGCACCUGCCUCCUGAUUCAUAGGCUGCCAUCUUUUUGCUGUGUCCUCACGUGACAGAAAAGAUCCCUGGGAGAAAUGCCCGGCCGCCAUCUUGGGUCAUCGAUGAGCCUCGCCCUGUGCCUGGUCCCGCUUGUGAGGGAAGGACAUUAGAAAAUGAAUUGAUGUGUUCCUUAAAGGAUGGGCAGGAAAACAGAUCCUGUUGUGGAUAUUUAUUUGAACGGGAUUACAGAUUUGAAAUGAAGUCACAAAGUGAGCAUUACCAAUGAGAGGAAAACAGACGAGAAAAUCUUGAUGGCUUCACAAGACAUGCAACAAACAAAAUGGAAUACUGUGAUGACAUGAGGCAGCCAAGCUGGGGAGGAGAUAACCACGGGGCAGAGGGUCAGGAUUCUGGCCCUGCUGCCUAAACUGUGCGUUCAUAACCAAAUCAUUUCAUAUUUCUAACCCUCAAAACAAAGCUGUUGUAAUAUCUGAUCUCUACGGUUCCUUCUGGGCCCAACAUUCUCCAUAUAUCCAGCCACACUCAUUUUUAAUAUUUAGUUCCCAGAUCUGUACUGUGACCUUUCUACACUGUAGAAUAACAUUACUCAUUUUGUUCAAAGACCCUUCGUGUUGCUGCCUAAUAUGUAGCUGACUGUUUUUCCUAAGGAGUGUUCUGGCCCAGGGGAUCUGUGAACAGGCUGGGAAGCAUCUCAAGAUCUUUCCAGGGUUAUACUUACUAGCACACAGCAUGAUCAUUACGGAGUGAAUUAUCUAAUCAACAUCAUCCUCAGUGUCUUUGCCCAUACUGAAAUUCAUUUCCCACUUUUGUGCCCAUUCUCAAGACCUCAAAAUGUCAUUCCAUUAAUAUCACAGGAUUAACUUUUUUUUUUAACCUGGAAGAAUUCAAUGUUACAUGCAGCUAUGGGAAUUUAAUUACAUAUUUUGUUUUCCAGUGCAAAGAUGACUAAGUCCUUUAUCCCUCCCCUUUGUUUGAUUUUUUUUCCAGUAUAAAGUUAAAAUGCUUAGCCUUGUACUGAGGCUGUAUACAGCCACAGCCUCUCCCCAUCCCUCCAGCCUUAUCUGUCAUCACCAUCAACCCCUCCCAUGCACCUAAACAAAAUCUAACUUGUAAUUCCUUGAACAUGUCAGGCAUACAUUAUUCCUUCUGCCUGAGAAGCUCUUCCUUGUCUCUUAAAUCUAGAAUGAUGUAAAGUUUUGAAUAAGUUGACUAUCUUACUUCAUGCAAAGAAGGGACACAUAUGAGAUUCAUCAUCACAUGAGACAGCAAAUACUAAAAGUGUAAUUUGAUUAUAAGAGUUUAGAUAAAUAUAUGAAAUGCAAGAGCCACAGAGGGAAUGUUUAUGGGGCACGUUUGUAAGCCUGGGAUGUGAAGCAAAGGCAGGGAACCUCAUAGUAUCUUAUAUAAUAUACUUCAUUUCUCUAUCUCUAUCACAAUAUCCAACAAGCUUUUCACAGAAUUCAUGCAGUGCAAAUCCCCAAAGGUAACCUUUAUCCAUUUCAUGGUGAGUGCGCUUUAGAAUUUUGGCAAAUCAUACUGGUCACUUAUCUCAACUUUGAGAUGUGUUUGUCCUUGUAGUUAAUUGAAAGAAAUAGGGCACUCUUGUGAGCCACUUUAGGGUUCACUCCUGGC